UCUCCGUUGGUGAACCAGCGGAGGGAUCAUUGAAGAGUUGCAAGACUCCAAACCAUCGCGAACAUACCACAUCGUUGCCUCGGCGGGCGGCUCCAGGGCGGAGCCUCCGGCCCCCUUCGGGGGGUGUCCGCCGAAAGGCCCCAAACACUGCUGAAGCUAGGCUACUCUGAGUACAUGGAUACAGUUAAAACUUUCAACAAUGGAUCUCUUGGCUCUGGCAUCGAUGAAGAACGCAGC
rnacentral:misc_RNA from 1 species